GUGGGGUGAGUUUAAGAAUUGCAUGUCGAUAGAAUAUGAUUGAGUUCAUGUAUAUAGGAUUCCAGGUUUACUCGUAGGUUCAUUACAUGAUGAAAAAGAAGCACAUCAUUCUAUUCGGGACUACUUGGACAUCACCAUAAAUCAGGUAAAUAGCUUUCUAAGCCUCUUUUUGAUCAUAAAUUAUUAUUUUGAAAGCUUUUUAUAUAGGCUAAACAGAGUAUAAAGUUAGACAGGUUAAUCUGACUUAUUUACUAAAUAGGUUAAAUG
rnacentral:lncRNA from 1 species